UAGUGCCCGAGGUCCCUGGGAGGAAUGUGAAUCUCUCUUCAUAAGUCUGAAUACUUCCCCUCUCUGCUCCCUUAAGGUCCCUGACCUCCAGCAGGGGGGACAGGUUGUUUGGAGGCUGUUCCAGGCUCAGCACCCACAGGUGGAACCAGUUUUUCGAGAGUGCCAACACGUGCUUGCAACACUCUGUUUUGCCUGUCACUUCUGGAAGAUCAACGCAGAACUGCGUAAGAUAACAGAGUUUAUCUGAGGAGCGGACCCCACGUUGUUAUUUGAAUUUCGAGAGUGAAAGGGACAGCAGGACCUGAUGGCGAGUCCCCACCCUCAUUACUGAAACAAAAAGGUUGCAUGUCGUCCUGUCUCAGAAAAAAACUCUUAGCAAAACACCCCUCUCUCUGCUGCGGUGCCCUGUGUCCCACACUUCUGCAAUACCUAUUGCUUCCUAAACAGACUCAAAUUCUGCAAGUGUUUUGACAGGUCCCUAUAGCGAACUAAUCCAUCUGGCACUCCAUGUGAUUGAGACGGCAGCUGACCAGCCUGGCUCCUGAAGGGCUCCUUUCACUCACAAAUUAAGGGAAUAGAAGAUCGAAAGCAAUUUCACCUCUGAGCCAAAUACUUCAUUUGCCUAUAAAGAAGCAGAACAGCUGGGGAGGAAAUUUAAGCCACUUGAUCGCUUUAUAAGGAGCAUUUUCCUUUUCACGAGUAGAAUCAACAAAUCCUAAUUUGGACCAAACUUCUGAGGUACAUCAAAGUUAGGCAUUGUGUGAAAAUGAGCUGCAGAAAAAAAAUGUCGCAAGAAAAUAAUGAUAGAAAGCACCUUAGUAGCUCCCUGCCUCUUCUGUGCUCAUCUGUGUUGCCUGAAAAGUGCUGAGAGGCAAAUGGUGAGGAUAGAAAACCUAUAAAGAAAUUUAUCUAUCCAGUCCAACUUCAGGUCAAAUAUCUGGAGAGUUCAAAAGAGACUUUUUACUCAGUUAUGGCCACAGGAAAAUAAAACAAAAAAAUCUUCAUAAAACUUUAGGCUUUCACCCAAUGUCCAUUAAAAACGAUGCAGAGUGUGAGGGGGAGAAAAAAAUACAAAGAAAAAAGAUAAUAAUUCCUCCCUGAGCUUACACCUGAUGUCUGUCACAGCCACUCCUGACCGCUUUCCUUUUGCGUUGGACAAACUUUCUUUGCGUGCCCCUCCAAGGAACGCCUGGUAUAACACACAGGAGGGUUCAGCUCAAUGUAUUUUUAGAAAAUUGAGAGCAAGGAAUAAAAACAAACCUUUAAACUAAGAGAGACAAUGACAUUAUAAACCCUACUGGCCUGUUAAUAUAUGUCUGUUUAUUGUAACGCAAUCUGUGACCUUCAGUGCACUGCCACUGUCUGUAAAUAAUACAAUGGGCUGAUUUUUUAUCCCAUGGGGAUGUGAGUGCUGAUGGAGCCUUUCAAAACUCAAAUGGAUGCCAUAAGCUGACGUCGACUGCUAUUGUGAUUCUUAUUUAUGAGUCUUUCUCUUUUUUUUUUCCUAAGUUCCAAAGUCACAGAGUGGAUGGCAGGAAAACACCCUGUCUGCCUGGCUUCAGGUUGGAUUAGGUAGUUUAUCUAACAUUCAGGAAAGUGCUCCUGAAAUGUAUGUUCCCUGCCUCUUGAGAACAGAGUGACAGCUCAUUCAAGACACCUAUUUUUUAAAGAAAAAAAUCCGUAUCACGGGCUUCUUAGCCCUGUAAAGCUGUUCACUGCCUCCAGAACCUUCACCGAACUCCUAAUUGUUUCACUGAGAUCAUCCAUUUAGGGAUGGGACCAUAAAUGUCAGCAUGAAGGUUUGUGGUACGUAUCCAAAGCUGUGCAGGUGCUCAACACAGAUGCUUGGAAGAUCAGUAUUUGUACCAGCACUGCCAAACAGCAGUCAGUUGCAUGGACUUUAAAGCUGACCAUUCUAUAAACUUCAUACUGAAAGCCUGAUCAGUAAGAAUAUAUCUGAAGGGAUUGCCCAGUAGCUGUCUGGUAAAGGCCCUGAACAACAAAUAAACAAUGAAAACAUAGCAACACUUGAACAUUAUCUUACUAGAUACACAAUACUCUCGAUCCAAUUCCCUUAUACAUGAAAUGCAUACUUACAGAAUGCCUGUUUUCCACAGAAUCUGCAAAAUAAAAUACAGUGUACAAAUUAUGAAAUGACA